GGGAUUGUGGCUUAGUGGUAGAGUACUAGCCUAGCAUGCAUGAGACCCCAGGUUCAAUUCCUCAGUACUA
rnacentral:tRNA from 1 species